rnacentral:rRNA from 1 species
UACGUAGGGUGCGAGCGUUGUCCGGAAUUAUUGGGCGUAAAGAGCUCGUAGGCGGUGUGUCACGUCGUUCGUGAAAACCUGCAGCUUAACUGUGGGCGUGCGGUCGAUACGGGCAUCACUGGAGUUCGGCAGGGGAGACUGGAAUUCCUGGUGUAGCGGUGAAAUGCGCAGAUAUCAGGAGGAACACCGGUGGCGAAGGCGGGUCUCUGGGCAAUAACUGACGCUGAGGAGCGAAAGCGUGGGGAGCGAACAGG